GAUGAACGCUGGCGGCGUGCCUAAUACAUGCAAGUCGAGCGAACGGACGAGAAGCUUGCUUCUCUGAUGUUAGCGGCGGACGGGUGAGUAACACGUGGAUAACCUACCUAUAAGACUGGGAUAACUUCGGGAAACCGUAGCUAAUACCGGAUAAUAUUUUGAACCGCAUGGUUCAAAAGUGAAAGACGGUCUUGCUGUCACUUAUAGAUGGAUCCGCGCUGCAUUAGCUAGUUGGUAAGGUAACGGCUUACCAAGGCAACGAUGCAUAGCCGACCUGAGAGGGGGACAGCCCACCCGGGAAGUGAGACCGGGCCCAGACUCCUACGGGGGGAGGCGGGGGGGAACCUCCCUGAAGGGGCGAAGCCCGGAGGGAGCAACGCCGCGGGAUGGAGGAAGGUCUUCGGAUCUAAAAACUCUUUUAUGGGGAAAAAAAAUAUGGGAAAGUAACUGGGCACAUCUGGAGGGAACCUAAUAAGAAAGCCACGCCAAACUACGUC
rnacentral:rRNA from 1 species